rnacentral:rRNA from 1 species
UACGUAGGGUGCAAGCGUUGUCCGGAAUUAUUGGGCGUAAAGAGCUCGUAGGCGGUUUGUCGCGUCUGCUGUGAAAACUCGGGGCUUAACUCCGGGCCUGCAGUGGGUACGGGCAGACUAGAGUGCGGUAGGGGAGACUGGAAUUCCUGGUGUAGCGGUGAAAUGCGCAGAUAUCAGGAGGAACACCGGUGGCGAAGGCGGGUCUCUGGGCCGUAACUGACGCUGAGAAGCGAAAGCAUGGGGAGCAAACAGG